rnacentral:rRNA from 1 species
AUGAAAUUGGUCAAAACUUACUUGCGCAAUCACCUCAAUGAUGAUAGCUUGACUAGUAUUGUUAUUUGUUAUGUGGUGAAAGAAGAAAUGAAAAAGGUCACCAAUGAUCGAGUGGUUGAGUAUUUCAUGCCUCGAAGGAAGAGAAUAUACUAA